rnacentral:rRNA from 1 species
UACGUAGGGACCAAGCGUUGUCCGGAAUCAUUGGGCGUAAAGAGCGUGUAGGCGGCUUGUUAAGUCUUGCGUGAAAUCUCGGGGCUCAACCCCGAGCGGUCGUGAGAAACUGGCAGGCUAGAGUGCGGGAGAGGAGAGUGGAAUUCCUGGUGUAGCGGUGAAAUGCGCAGAUAUCAGGAAGAACACCAAUGGCGAAAGCAGCUUUCUGGGACGGUACUGACGCUGAGACGCGAAAGCGUGGGGAGCGAACCGG